GGGCGGUGAAGGUGGUGAUCUCCCCCUCGGCCAUCGCGCCGCCUCUCGCAGGGCCGGGCUGCAAGAGAGGUGACAGCGGGGUGACAGCGGGGUGACAGCGGGGUGGCAGAGAGGUGACAGCGGGGGGGCACAGAGGUGACAGCGGGGUGGCAGAGAGGUGACACAGAGGUGACAGCAGGGGGGCAGAGAGGUGACAGCGGGGUGACAGAGAGGUGACAGCGGGGUGGCACAGAGGUGACAGCGGGGGGGCAGAGAGGUGACAGCGGGGUGACAGAGAGGUGACACAGAGGUGACAGCGGGGUGGCAGAGAGGUGACAGCGGGGUGACAGCGGGGUGGCAGAGAGGUGACAGCGGGGGGGCACAGAGGUGACAGCGGGGUGGCAGAGAGGUGACAGCGGGGUGACAGCGGGGUGGCAGAGAGGUGACAGCGGGGGGGCACAGAGGUGACAGCGGGGUGGCAGAGAGGUGACAGCGGGGGGGCAGAGAGGUGACACAGAGGUGACAGCGGGGUGGCACAGAGGUGACAGCAGGGGGGCAGAGAGGUGACAGCGGGGUGACAGCGGGGUGACAGAGAGGUGACAGCAGGGGGCAGAGAGGUGACAGCGGGGUGGCACAGAGGUGACAGUGGGGUGACAGCAGGGUGACAGCGGGGUGGCACAGAGGUGACAGCGGGGUGACAGCGGGGUGGCAGAGUGCUGGGCACACGUUUCGUGCCGGGCUUUAAGGGCUGGCAGGAGGGAGGGAGGGAGGGGAGCCGGGGGUCCCGGGGCCGGGCUGGGACAGGUGAUUCACUGUGACAGUGACACAGCCCAGGGUGAUGCUCCCCCGGCGUGGGAGGUGGCCAGGGGCUGUCUCCAGGCAGCAGGGAGACUCCUGUCUGUCCUUCUAAUUUUAUCUUUUAUUUUUAUCUUUUAUUUUUGAAAGGACUCUGUCCUUUUAAUUUUAUCACGGUGAAUUCUGUUUUUGUUCUCCUUUCUAUUGACGUGCAUGCUAAAAUUACACACAGAAGAGCAGUUUGGAAAACACCCAGUGUCUGAUUGGAACCCACAGGAGGUGGGAAGGGAGCCCAGGUAAAACUCUCUCUCUGCUAUUACAACUCUCAAACACAAUUAUGACCAGGAAUUGCAACACCCACUGCCUGUCAGGUAGUAACUAUUGCUCAUCCCUUGGCACUCUGCAGCUCACCUGGCCCAGGAACACACUUGGAAAAGGUCAGGACACACGUUAGGUGUGCUGGGGGGUGAGCAGGGGCAGCCAGACUGAUCAAUAGCACAUGGAAAAUGGGAAUUCUGAGUGCAGGAUAUGCCAUGAACGAACCAGCAGCAUCUCAGUGCCUGAAGGGGCUCCAGGAGGGCUGGAGAGGGGCUUUGGUCGAGGAUCUGGAGUGACAGGAGAAGGGGAAUGGCUCCCACUGCCACAGGGCAGGGUUGGAUGGGAAUUUGGGAAGGAAUCCUUCCCUGUGAGGGAGGGCAGGGCUGGCACAGGUACCCAGAGCUGCUGUGGCUGCCCCUGGAUCCCUGCAGUGCCCCAGGCCAGGCUGGAUGGGGCUUGGAGCAACCUGGGAUAAUAAAAUACCACACUGAAACCUCAUUUUGCUGGAGACUGUGGUCACAAUCCAUGUUUAAGCAGAUGCUGUGCCAAAACCUGAAGGCACCACCAGACCAACCAAAGAAAGAUGCUGUGGAGGGUGGAGGCUGAGCAGUGAGAGGUGGCAUCAGGAGAUGCCACAGCUGGGGGUCAGAGUGCCAUGGAUAUUCCAGGUACAGCCAUGUUUUUACAUUUAAAAUCUCCCACUGAUUCAUUCUGUCUUUCAUACAGAGUUCUGUAGUGCUUGGAGAGAAGUGGAUUUAUGAACAGAAAAAGACAUGGCACUGAAUAAAUCUAGAUAGAGGAAAUUGCUUUAAAUGUCACAUAUUCCCACAGCUAUAUUAUGGAAAAUAUUUUAUAGUCACUGUUUAUACAUGUUUAUAGAUUGUAAAAAUGUCUCUUUAGCACUGAGUUGUGCUACUGGUAGGUUGGGAUGGAGCCAGUACCACACUGUGUGGGUUUGCUGUGGUGCUUGGAGUGCCCUGGGAGAUGCUCAGGGUGGCAACCCUGCAGCACACACACUCACACACUGAGAAUCUCUAAACAUUUGGCUCUAAACUCUUCAGUAUUUAAAAAAAAAAAAAAAAAAAAUCUGCAAAAGCAGCUGCAAGAAGGGGAAACUACUCCUGGAAAUGGAUCCCAGAUGCCUGCAGAGAAUAAAAUCCUCUGGAAGUUGGAUUGCUAAAAGCUGAACCCAUGAAGAUAAAGGAGAUAAAGACUGAGAGCAUUGCCAGCCACUGCACCACUCUGCUUCCUACACAGACUUCAGCCCAGGCCCUCAGACACCCCAUUUGACACAGGCUGGGAUUUUGGGAGGUGCUGUCUGCAGUGACAGCACAGGGCAGCCCCAGCUGUGGCCAUGGGGCUGGAGGUGCAGCCUCAGAAGCUCUCUGGCUCCAGGUGCUUUCCAGAGCAGGUGGUGCCAAAUACUGACUCAAAAUCUCUUUUUUAGCACCAUUUUCAGGUGAAAUUAUCUCUAAGAGUAUCUGAUCCUCAUUGAUUUUUCUCUCAGGACUCAUACAUGCAGUAGCUCAGUUUCCUUGCCAGCUGCCAGCCUUUCUCUGAAGGAGAGCCCCCAAGCCACACAGGGCUCUGAUCCUCCCCUGAGCUUUAAAUAUCGUCAGCAUUGGGUCAUUUCCUAGAACCAAAGCUUUUCUUGAACCUUUAUCUGAGGGUAAAAGGCACCCAGAAGUUUCCUGGGUUGAUGAUGGAUGGUAUUGAGAAGCAAACAUCCCAGAUCCAAGAGCUCUGGCUGGAUUCUACCCACAGUCACCUCAAGGUCUGAGGGAUCUCCAGCCAGCUUGACCAGAGCAGCUUCUUCAUCAUCUCUUGUUUCCUCCCAGGUUAUUUUUGCUAUUUUUAGGAAGACUCCAGUGCUUGCCAGCUGCCCUGAGUGCCCCAGCAGAGCUCAGUGAACACUUUUCCACUCCUCUUGUCCCCCCGUGCUAAAUACUAUCACUGUUCUCAGACUUUAUGGCCAUGGAGCUGUUCCUCUACAAACACCACCACUCAUGGCCCUACCAUUAUACUUUUGGCAGGAACAUGUGAGGUUUUUAUGGGAAUUAAAAAGCACGAGUGAGAGAGAGAACCUGAACCAAAGACAACAUAAAGGGCCUUAUUUCUUUGGGUAGAAGCCCAACAAUGCUAUUAAAUAGCUCCAAGCAGAACUGAAAGCUCUCUCAAAUAUACAAAGCUGGGAGACACCACACUGCAGUGGUUAUUUGGUGCCCCAUGGAGAAAGGAAAACGUUCCAAGAGGAGAUUGCUGUGAGAGGGGAAUGGCUGCUGAGCACUGACCCUGCUCUCACCAGGACAGUGAUUUGGAGCUGAGCUGGAGUCUGCUGGUCCAAGAGCAGCUGUGUUUGUGGCUCCUCUUUCCUCCAGCUCUGUGUGACAGCCCUGCUGUGCUGCCUGAGAGAAAACCCCACUGAGGAUGAAUCCCUGGGAGGUGCACCCAGGGCAGCCCCAGCUCCGUCUGCAGCGUGGGCAGCUCAGGGCACCCAGCUCUCCCUCCUGGAUGGAGAUGUCAGCACCCAAAGGAUCAGAAAUCAUUGCUGAAGGUAAAAAAGGACUUAAGAAGUGAGUUAAGCCCGACUGUUCAUUUGGCCCAGGUCCUGCAGAGCCGUGGUGGCUGCACUGUGCAGCUCCAGGGCCAGAAUAGCUGCGAAAUUCUGAGAAGUUUGGGGUCAGUUCCAAACUUUAUCACUGGCCAAACCAGUGGCUUUGAUGUGAAAUCCCAAGCUCAGUGAGCAUCUGACUCUGAGCAUGGAGGGCUGGCUGUGCUGCCAAUAUCAGGGGUGUGAGCUCUGAAAUAGCAGCACACACUGGGAGCCAGGGGAGGAGUGGGACCUUUCCUCUCUGCUCUAAAACUGGUGCAGACUUCACUGCACAGCACCUCUUUGUGGGGUAAAGGUGGUGCUGGUGGAAAUGUGGGGGAUUCCUAAUGGUCCAAAAGCUUUUUGCAUGUCAGAAUUGGCAGGAACUUUUUUUUUUUUUUUUUUUUUUUUUUUUUUUUUUUUUUUUUUUUUGUUAUGGCUCAUAUGGCACAAAUUUCGUUGCCAGCAAAGGUUCAACCCAGAGGCAGCCAGCUAAGGUAAGAUUUUUUUCCUUAGGUCUGAAAUACCUGGCAACUACAUGGAGGAAAGCAGAAGUAUCUCACCUACUGGGUUAAAACCAGAUUGGAUUGAUUCAAAUACAUCAAAAUUGUCCUUGCCUUUGGACACAAUCUUUUAUGUAGGGUUGGAGAGAAAUGUUCUGCAUGGCCUCUGAGUGGCCACAGUGAUGAAAAAGUGCAGUUAAUAACAAUUGUCAUUUAGAUGAUCAGCUAAAGAUCACACAGAGAACUCCAGAGUGAGGAGAAGCUGCUAAAGCCAAGAGUCUCCUGAGGUUUUGCCCAACUCCAGUUAAUGAGAUCAGUGUCUCCUGACCCUGGUCUGGUGAGUUCAGUGGAAACACUCCAGUUGGUUUCACUUUGGAAAGUGUUAUUUUCUCCAUUAAAGCAGAAAUCCCGUUUCUUCCAGGACGUGUGACUCAGCUGGGAUCAGACAGCAUCACCUCCUGAUGGGCUCCUUUCCCAUUCCCACUGCUGCCUGCAGCCACCUGCACAGAACAGUUCAGACACUCCACAUGGGGAUGGAAAGCAUUUACAGCAGGUUGCUCCUCCAGCCCAGCCUUGGACACCUCCAGGGAUGGGCAGCCACAGCUGCUCUGAUGUGAUGCUUGUGAUAAUCGAGAUACAAAGAUGCCCUGGAUUGUCUAAGUGGAAAAAACCCCACACUAAACCAAAAAUUUGAGGUACCAGGCAGAGUGUGUGGAUCUGUGCUCCCUGCCCAGCUGGGAUGCCACAAUCAGGACCCCAAUGGGUUUUUACCUUUUCCUUGCUGGUGAGCUGCACAUUGUGGGAUCCCAGGGAGUCAGUGAGCAUCCCCUGUGCUUCACACCCACACCAGGGCAGGUGUGAGAUCCAAGAUCCCCAUUUGGAGUCUGGCAGCCAAUAACACUUCCCAUCAAGUGGAAGUUUUUGUGAACACCCUGCAGCAAUGGGAAUACUAAGGAAGGGGAAGGGAGGGUGUUUUACUAAAACACUUGUACUUCGUGUCCAAGAUUUGACCUUCAGUAGAGAAUCAAGGGUCAAGGGAGAUGGGAGUUCCAGUGGCAAAAGGACACAGCUGGGUAGUUUUGUGCAGAACACCCACAUGUCCUGUGGGGCUGUGCAGCUGUUGGGGAUCUAACCAUGGAUCUCUCUGGGAAAAGCAAGGGACCUCUCUGGGGAAAGCAUAACUGGAGUGGGGAAAGCAGGGCAGCCUGGGGGUCUGCCAGGAAUGGGUACAGGAAUGGCCCUGUGGCAGCUCUGGGGGCAGGGUGGGACAUGCCCUGUUUGGAUGGCACAGGGGUGCAGGAUGUCCCUGUGCCCACAGGGACUGGCCCAGGACAGGGACAGGCAGCAGAUGGGCUGUCUGGCACUGAGCUUCCUGACCAGCAUCAUUUCCAGGGGCUUAUGGCGUGCAGAGAGUGUCUGGGAUGAGCACACAGCUCAGAUCUGGAGUUCAUCUUGGGAUGCACAGAGUGGGAUUUGUCACGGUCAGGAUCUCCCCCUCCUGUCUGCCCCAGAGUGAGGAUGAGAGAGGAGAAGGAACCACUCAGGCUCCUGAUCAUGGCCUGAGCAGGGGGCAGAAAUGUCAGUGUGCAGCUGGGGGGCUGUGCCCCAAGGUGGGGGAGCUGCCUGCCUGCCCCUGGCUGGGAAUGCCCUGGACCAGCAGCACCAGGGUGGGCAGCUGUGCCCCUGACAGGGGUCCCUGCCAGGCUGGCUGCACCUUGGAGGGCUCUAACAGACCUGUGGCUGUGGCUCUGGGGACAGGGGUUAGUGGUGGUCUUGGUAGUGCUGGGGAAUGGUAGGGCUCAAUUUGAUUUAAUUCUAAACUAAGCAGCUCUUGGAUUCUGCAGGAACAGGGUCUCUGCACAGGUGAGAGCUGGCAAGGCUGGUCUGCAGGUGGGACAGGCAGAUUUACCAACCCUGCAGUGGGAAGGGAAGAUCUGAGAUCAAGGCUGACACCCAGAUCUAAAUUAAGGGCCAGGAGCAAGGACAGACUCUGUGAGCAGCAGAGGGCUGUGAGUCAUGGAUGAACUGUGUGUCCAGACUGCUGUGGGCAGUGGGCAAACCCUUGGGUUUGGGCUCAGGGCAGACAGCACCACUCCCAGGAGGAGUCUGAAGGGGACAAAGGGGUUUUAGAUCCGUGCCAUGAGUCAGUGGUACCUGGGCACAGCAGCCAGCCUGUUCCCACAGCCCCUUCUGCCCUGUCCCCAGGGACAGUGCCAGCCUUUGAUGCUGUGGGCUCAGGAUCUGCCUGGGCAUCCCAGCUUGCUCCUUUCCCCAGCAGCCUCUCAGUCUGAGCAAGGGAGGGAGUCUGGGGGGCAGGGAAGGCACAAACAGGAGGGGAAAGGGGAUCCUCUGUGAUCACUCAAAGGGAUUCUUCUGAGCUCCCUUCUGAGUUAAAACCCAGCAGAAUGGGGUUUGUUACCUAAUUAAAACAGAGCUCAGGCUUUACACUGCACCAUGAGUGCAUUGAUGAUGCUGGGCUGGGGUUAAUAUGACUUUAUGUAGCACUGGCUGUGUAUUAGCUGUCAUUGAAGGGAAUUCCUAAAUAUUAACCCUGGCACUGUGAGAGUCUGUCUCAGCCUUCCUCUGCCACCUUCUCCAGAUGGAAAUGAAGCACUUCUGUUAUUUGAGGUUUUAGAGAAAGGCAGGACUGUGGCAGGUGCAGACUGUCUCAGAGCCAGGGCUGUCUCUAACCCAGGCAUGAGGCACAGGUCCCCAUCCCUCGGUGGGCAGUGCCCCCUGCCCUGUCAGACUCGGACAGACUUUGGGGAAUGUAAAACCUGCAAGUCACUGAUUGCUGCUGCAGCUGCUCUGCACGGCCCUGCCCUCUGCUUUGGCUCUCCAACAGCUUUAAACCAACAGAUUCUGGUGUUGGAAACGAGGAAGGGAACAGGAACUGAGACUGAGUCGGGCACCUUCCAGGGAGGAUUCCUGCACCCACACCAGGGACCAUGACAAAGCCAUUGUGUCUCUCACUGAGCUGGUUUUCAACAAAUCCUUCUGCAAAGAGAUUUUUUUUGUGAGGUUGCUGUUUGAAAGGCAGACCCAGCCCCCACGAUAAUCCCCAAUAGCUCUGCACUGACAGACAAUGUACACAGGAUUCCUAAAAAUGCCCCAGCCAUGAGUCAGUGCCCACUGUGCCCAGGAGAGAGGAGUGCUGGUACCUAGGGCAGCCUGGGAGGUCAGGACAGCCUUUACCUCCCUGCAAUAUACUUUUUUUUCAGGGAAUGUUUACCAAAAGGGUUUUUAAGGUCCGGUUCAAGUGCUAAUGUAUUUUGAGGGCAAUAAAGAAGAGGAAAAAAAAAAAAAAAAGAAGAUUAAAUAAUCAAGGAAGGCUGAAAGAGAAAUGGAGGCUAAAUGAGAGAAGGAGGCUGGAAAAGAAUUGGAGUCACAAGGCUGGGGAAGAAAAAAGUAAAGGCUGAGGAGUGCAAGAGAAACAUAAGGUUGAUCAGAAAUAAAAACAAGGACAGAAAAAACAGAGGCUGCAGAGGGCCAAGAAAGGGUGAGAGGGGGAAAGAAAUGAACAGGCUGGAAAUGGCAGGAGGCCAAAAUAGAGUGGGAGGCCAAAGGAAAAGUAGAGACCAAAAAAAAAAAAUGGAGGGUGAAAAGUGGUGGGAGGCUGAAGAGGCACAUGAGACACACGGGAAGGUCUGCCCGAGGAGGGGUCUGAAGUUUAAUGGGUUCCUCAGCAGGACAGGCUCUGCUGAUAAGGCAGCACAAUGUGCGAUUGUUCUCGCUGCACAGGGGCAGCCCAGCC